UGGGGAAUAUUGCACAAUGGGCGAAAGCCUGAUGCAGCAACGCCGCGUGAGUGAUGAAGGCCUUCGGGUUGUAAAGCUCUGUCUUUUGGGACGAUAAUGACGGUACCAAAGGAGGAAGCCACGGCUAACUACGUGCCAGCAGCCGCGGUAAUACGUAGGUGGCAAGCGUUGUCCGGAUUUACUGGGCGUAAAGGAUGCGUAGGCGGAUUUUUAAGUGAGAUGUGAAAUACCCGGGCUUAACUCGGGUGCUGCAUUUCAAACUGGGAAUCUAGGUGCGGGAGAGGAGAAUGGAAUUCCUAGUGUAGCGGUGAAAUGCGUAGAGAUUAGGAAGAACACCAGUGGCGAAGGCGAUUCUCUGGACCGUAACUGACGCUGAGGCAUG
rnacentral:rRNA from 1 species